AUAACGCAGCGAAAGCUGUGCUAAUACCGCAUACGAUCUAUGGAUGAAAGCGGGGGACCUUCGGGCCUCGCGCGAUUGGAGCGGCCGAUGUUAGAUUAGGUAGUUGGUGGGGUAAAGGCUCACCAAGCCAACGAUCUAUAGCUGGUCUGAGAGGACGACCAGCCACACUGGAACUGAGACACGGUCCAGACUCCUACGGGAGGCAGCAGUGGGGAAUUUUGGACAAUGGGCGAAAGCCUGAUCCAGCAAUACCGCGUGCAGGAAGAAGGCCCUCGGGUUGUAAACUGCUUUUGUACGGAACGAAACGGCGCGCUCUAAUAAAGUGCGCUAAUGACGGUACCGUAAGAAUAAGCACCGGCUAACUACGUGCCAGCAGCCGCGGUAAUACGUAGGGUGCAAGCGUUAAUCGGAAUUACUGGGCGUAAAGCGUGCGCAGGCGGUUUUGUAAGACAGGCGUGAAAUCCCCGGGCUCAACCUGGGAAUUGCGCUUGUGACUGCAAGGCUAGAGUACGGUAGAGGGGGGUAGAAUUCCGCGUGUAGCAGUGAAAUGCGUAGAUAUGCGGAGGAACACCGAUGGCGAAGGCAGCCCCCUGGACCUGUACUGACGCUCAUGCACGAAAGCGUGGGGAGCAAACAGGAUUAGAUACCCUGGUAGUCCACGCCCUAAACGAUGUCAACUGGUUGUUGGGAAUUUACUUUCUCAGUAACGAAGCUAACGCGUGAAGUUGACCGCCUGGGGAGUACGGGCCGCAAGGUUGAAACUCAAAGGAAAUUGACGGGGACCCGCACAAGCGGUGGAUGAUGUGGUUUAAUUCCAUGCAACGCGAAAAACCUUACCUACCCUUGACAUGUACGGAACUUGCCAAAAAUGGCUUGGUGCUCGAAAGAGAGCCGUAACACAGGUGCUGCAUGGCUGUCGUCAGCUCGUGUCGUGAGAUGUUGGGUUAAGUCCCGCAACGAGCGCAACCCUUGUCAUUAGUUGCUACAUUUAGUUGGGCACUCUAAUGAGACUGCCGGUGACAAACCGGAGGAAGGUGGGGAUGACGUCAAGUCCUCAUGGCCCUUAUGGGUAGGGCUACACACGUCAUACAAUGGCUGGUACAAAGGGUUGCCAACCCGCGAGGGGGAGCUAAUCCCAUAAAGCCAGUCGUAGUCCGGAUCGUAGUCUGCAACUCGACUGCGUGAAGUCGGAAUCGCUAGUAAUCGUGGAUCAGAAUGUCACGGUGAAUAC
rnacentral:rRNA from 1 species